GCAGUUUUGGCCGAGCGGUCUAAGGCGCCAGUUUAAGGCACUGGUCUUCGGGCGCGGGUUCGAAUCCCGCAGACUGUA
rfam:Aureococcus anophagefferens unplaced genomic scaffold ATRANscaffold_26, whole genome shotgun sequence.